GCGGGUAGCGCAGGUCGCUAGACAGCCUUCCAAGCUGACGAUCGGGGUUCGACUCCCCGUAUCCGCUCCA
rnacentral:tRNA from 1 species